CCUACGGGUGGCAGCAGUAGGGAAUCUUCGGCAAUGGACGAAAGUCUGACCGAGCAACGCCGCAUGAGUGAAGAAGGUUUUCGGAUCGUAAAACUCCGUUGGUAGAGAAGAACGUUGGUGAGAGUGGAAAGCUCAUCAAGUGACGGUAACUACCCAGAAAGGGACGGCUAACUACGUGCCAGCAGCCGCGGUAAUACGUAGGUCCCGAGCGUUGUCCGGAUUUAUUGGGCGUAAAGCGAGCGCAGGUGGUUUAUUAAGUCUGGUGUAAAAGGCAGUGGCUCAACCAUUGUAUGCAUUGGAAACUGGUAGACUUGAGUGCAGGAGAGGAGAGUGGAAUUCCAUGUGUAGCGGUGAAAUGCGUAGAUAUAUGGAGGAACACCGGUGGCGAAAGCGGCUCUCUGGCCUGUAACUGACACUGAGGCCCGAAAGCGUGGGGAGCAAACAGGAUUAGAUACCCGAGUAGUC
rnacentral:rRNA from 1 species